UGCGUUUUAAUUUUUAACUCUAAUUAUUGUAGUAUUUUUUCUUUUGUUUCUAUUUUUUAUUUUAAUUUUUUGUAAAAUGUUUUAGUUUAUUUUUGUUUUGAGGAAAUACUUAAAAUUUGUUUUAUUGAACUGGAUUAGUACCCAGGUAAUCAAAAUUAAUUAAUUCGGGAGUAAAGUUUUGUUUAAACCGAAAAAAUAUUGACUGACUUUAGAUUUCUUUUUGGAACAUGUGUAUGGAGAGCCCUCCUUUUAAGUAAAUUUUUUUUGCUCAUGUAUGAUUGUUUAGUUUUUAUGUUAUUUUGUAAUGCUUUUUUUUUUAAUUUAAAACAGAUAAAUACUUGGCUAAUGGGUUUAUGAUCAUGUGUUACUAUUAAUAAUUUUUUUUGGAUAGUUUUUUAUUUUUUAUUUGAAAUUGGAAAAAAAGUAAUUAUUUUUUUAUGUAUUAGUGAAUUUAAUAAAUAAAGU
rnacentral:rRNA from 1 species